AUUGUGCCACAGGCUUAGGAGGGAGGUCUGAACAAAAAUGCAAGAAAAAGGAACUUCUGUCCUCCAAGCCACGUCGUGGUAAAGAUGCAGCAUACCUCUCAGAAAUUUAAGUUAAUAGAAACAAGCACUACAUGCUAAUGUACAUGGAAUGUGUGACUAACAGAGAAAAAGUGAUACUGUGAGGAUGUAAAAAGUGAGCUAACUCGAAAAGUCCUCAAGAAGUAGUGUUAAUGAGUGCUUCAAGUUGGAAACAAUUUUCAACUGGAGAAAUGUGCCCAGUCUGUUGGUGAAGAGAAAGCACAGGAGAGGUCAGAUUAUUUAAUAUAGAAUAAAGUAAGCAUCAGCUACCUACCCUCUAAAAGAUGAACCUACUUGAGAGAGGAGAGAACAUCAAAGGCUGUAAUAUGCUGAGCUUUCUAAGAAAACUGCUUUGAAGGGAACAGGUUUUGCUUGGAUGGAAGAAAGAGACAUUAUACAAAUGCAAGCUGUUGUCACAACAAUGAUAAGAAAUCAGGAGUCGAAAGAUGUGGAGUAAGGGGGAAUUUCAGAGAAACCACAAAACACAAAAUAGGAAACAGAGACAGGAGAAGAUUGCUAUGACAAAAUUGCAGAAGGUGAAAUCUUUGGCAGCCUCUUAUUUCUCUGGAGAAUAUGAUAUUGUCAGGCUGAGGUGGAAGAAUCACAUGGUCAUACUGUUGAAGAGGUCUUGAAACAUUGGGCUUUCCUCUACAAGCGGAAGGAUAGCACUGGCAGCCAUCCACUGGCCCAGCAAUAUCCUGGAUUGAGACGAUAUCAUUUGCAUUACUUGCUGAAUGAAACAUAGUGAAAAUGACUGCAGAUAACCUCAACUAAGUCCAAGAUAUCAUUUUCAAAUCUGGACCAGCCCUUGCCAUCUAGACUGAACAGAGAUUCCAGUUUCCAGGAGAGUAGAUGGAGUAAUGAUAAAAGCACCUCCCAAAACUUUUGCCUUGGUACUACAGAGUGGCACAUAACUAAACAUUAUCAAGGAAUUUUACAGCCCUAGGCCUUCUAUUACUGUGUAUUACAGUCUGCUGUAAUCAUUCUAAUGGUCUAAGAUGUUGCAAGUAAUUUACUCACGGCCUGAACACCAGAAGUGCCAAAAUUGCCUGGGAGUUUUAUUCUGCAUCCAACCAGUACCAGGAAGGAGGAUGUAUUACUUCUCGUUUCUCUACAAGUGUCAGUGCAAAUCCAGCCAUCAAACAAAACUUAGACCUAAAAGCUUUUAGAUUACAGCGAUUAUUGC
rnacentral:lncRNA from 1 species